rnacentral:rRNA from 1 species
AGCGGCGGACGGGUGAGUAACGCGUGGGUAACCUGCCCUAUACACAUGGAUAACAUACUGAAAAGUUUACUAAUACAUGAUAAUAUAUAUUUGUGGCAUCGCAGAUAUAUCAAAGUGUUAGGGGUAUAGGAUGGACCCGCGUCUGAUUAGCUAGUUGGUGAGAUAACUGCCCACCAAGGCGACGAUCAGUAGCCGACCUGAGAGGGUGAUCGGCCACAUUGGAACUGAGACACGGUCCAAACUCCUACGGGAGGCAGCAGUGGGGAAUAUUGCACAAUGGGCGAAAGCCUGAUGCAGCAACGCCGCGUGAACGAUGAAGGUCUUCGGAUCGUAAAGUUCUGUUGCAGGGGAAGAUAAUGACGGUACCCUGUGAGGAAGCCCCGGCUAACUACGUGCCAGCAGCCGCGGUAAUACGUAGGGGGCUAGCGUUAUCCAGAUUUACUGGGCGUAAAGGGUGCGUAGGUGGUCCUUCAAGUCGGUGGUUAAAGGCUACGGCUCAACCGUAGUAAGCCGCCGAAACUGGAGGACUUGAGUGCAGGAGAGGAAAGUGGAAUUCCCAGUGUAGCGGUGAAAUGCGUAGAUAUUGGGAGGAACACCAGUAGCGAAGGCGGCUUUCUGG